UGUUUGGGCGUGUGUGUGUGUGUGUGUUUGUGUGUGUGUGUGUGUGUGUGUGUGUGUGUGUGUGUGUGUGUGUGUGUGUGUGUGUGCGUGUGUGUGUGUGUGUGUGUGUGUGUGUGUGUGUGUGUGUGUGUGUGUGUGUGUGUUCUGUGUAUGUGUUCGGGUGUGUGUGUGUGUGUGUGUGUGUGUGUGUGUGUGUGUGUGUGUGUGUGUGUGUGUGUUUCUGUUCGUGUGUGCGUGUAGGGUUCUGUCCUGGGAUGAACUCUGCAGCAGCCGCUGUGACGGCUGCUCACCACUGACUGACGACAGCCAGGAGAGGGAGGGAGGGCAGAGAGCAGACAAAGAGAGAGGAGCAACAAAGAAGGACGUGACAAAUAAGAGUAAAAGGAGGCGGCGAUGAAAAAUGAACGUUUAAUUCCACCAGAACAGAAGAAACAGUGCACGAGUGAGCGACUCGAGGUGAAAAACAACCAAGAGACGAAGAGAAAGGAAAGAAGAGGAGUGGAAACUGAAGAGAAGGCGUCAGAGACAGAGGGACAGAGAACAGAGAAGAGUCCAGGAGUGAACUAUUAGAGAGGACGGAGCUGAACACUGACAGACUGACUGACAGGCAGCGCAAACAAAUCAGACCAAUGACAGGAAGGAAGUGAACUGAGGACGCGCGAGAGAAGAAGCUGCAGCUGGAGAUCAGCGGUCGCAGUCGCACCUCUCAUCUCUCGUCAUCAGGCGAUGGAGCAGCUCGGCAGCAGUGGAGCAGCAGGCUCCGCCCACUGUGACGGCCGCAGGGCGUGGACCCGGCGACCACAGCGUCAGCCGUCAUCGCCACGGUUACACAUGAUGCCUCCUGACGGCCGACAUGCUGCUGCUGCUGCUUCACAUCAACCCCCCGAUAAGUAGAAAUGACCCUCGAACCACUGCUGACGCUGAUGAGCGCCAUUAGUUUCUUCAUAACCGCGCUGGAUUCAUUACAGCUGUUCCUGUUUGACUGAAAUGAACCGAGUGAACUGGGAGGAGGGGGGCGUCGCACGGGUUGGCACGCUCUCCCGUUCCACUUCAGCGUGAUCCAUGUGUUGUGAUGCCUGCAGUGUCCUGGUUCGGCCCCGCGCGCUGACAGUGAACCUCAUGAGGUGAGCGCUCACAACAACAGCCCUGGAUGUGGAGACCAGCGGCGCUCGGUGGGAACGCGCUCGCAAUCGCGCACGACGAAGCCUCCUCCGACAGAAAACAAGCACGGCCUGAAAAACGGAGCCUUGCUGUUGAGCGACCCAUAUGCUGCUGCUGCUGCUGCUGGGCUCCAGCCAAAGAGAGGAAGCAAUUUGAGAUGAGUGGCUGGAGUGGUGCGCUUGAUUCAUAGCCACAUGCCGACUUGUGUGCUUUCUACUUCUGAUUAUCAUCUUGGUCCAGGUGGAACAUGGAAGGAGUGGAGCAGGAGAACUCUCAGCCGCUGCCAGCUGGCUGGGGAGUGUGUCCAGGCGGAACCGCGAGCAGCCAAGAGGACUUUUUAAGCAAAUGCCUCUUUGUGGUUGGUCGGCAUGCAGGAAAUUCUUUCCACCUGGAACUGGCAUGUGAGAUUACUCCAUUUAGAUUAGUGUGCCAGUCAAAGGCAAUUCUCCAUAUGAAGGACUGCACAGUACGAGCGGAGAGGACGCAGGACAAGCACACAAGUGGGAUCUUCUAACAAAUGUGCAGAAUCAAGAAUAUUUUUUAACAGACCAAGUGAUCAUGUAGAGAUUCUUGUAGCGCUACUCAGACAGAUCGGCCUUUGUUUGUGAGGCAUCAGCCAAGCGGAUGCGAGCGAUUUCUGCCGCUAAAGCCAGAAAGCUGCCUUCUUCCUGCUCAGUCUCAGAGGUGCUGAAAACUUCCCAAGGCGCAUUCCACUCUGAGACAGACACGAGGAAUAACAGUUGAGUAGGAAGAAGGAAUUCAAUGUCUCACUCUUCUGGGUAAAGUCACCAGCUUAAAAAGAGAAAUAUUCUGAUGAGUCAGUCUUUGGUCAAUUAAUUUCAGAUAUCUGUAGUAGAGUUAGAGUUAGAUGUGCCAAAAGUAAAAUAAAAUAUCAGUGAGUCGUUUCGAUUGCUUAACAUUAGAACUGGUCCUGCAGCUUUUCUCCAACGGGACCUUGGGAUUAAAGGUUUUUCCCAAACCCUAUCAGCGUGAAAUUCACAGAACCACCAAGUUCUCACCUCCACAGACCAAACCCACACAACCUUCAGCCCAGACUAAACAGCCGCUCAUAUAAAACAGCACUAAGCUUGAGGUGUUGUCUUCUGGCAGGUCGCGGCCAUCUCCAUCUCCGACUCUCUGGCUUGUAAACUUCCUGCAGAGUUUUUCAAGGGACACUUGGCCUUAAUCUGAUACACUGAAGUCCUUUAGUUUAUUUCAGGUCCAGAGCUGUGUGUAAAAGUCGCUGCUCUCUGUAUUCUAUUGGGUUUUUGUGUAGAGCAUGGCUUUGGAGCACUGGAGUUUACCAUUGUACAGUGAGGACAGGGCGUGAACAGCGUGUUGGAAGCGUUGCAAGGAGAACUCCUGCUCUAUGAGGACAAAUGAGGCCGCCUCUCCAGCAGCUAAGGCGAAAAUGGAUCAUGCAUCAAAUCACAAAAAAAGGGGUUCUGGAUUGACCUAGUUUAAAUGUGGAUACAUGGCUGUUCCAUUGUUUUGUUUUAAACUCAGACCAGCUGUGAUUUACAUAAAAAAAACAUAGAAGUCAACGGUUACUAAGUUUGACACGUUUAUAAGGAGCAUAAAACACAAACUCAUGCACUCAGACGUGUUGUUUACAACUGUCUGUGAGAGAGAAAAGGUUUUGCAGAACAAUUUCCAGACGUGAGCUAAAAGCAGGAGACUGAAUGCAGACAAAACAAAGAUGCAGCUAAAAGCAUCAGCUAAGACGGAAGGUCAAGGCCCCGUGGGUCUGUAAAGCACUUCAACGCAGACUGUUCAAUGUAGAAAAGCAUAUUGACCAAAAUAAUAGGAACUCGGCACCACAUAUGUCCUUUACUGCUUUCAAACUGUGACGUUGGGAAUUUGGAUCCAUUUUUCUGUUCAAAAACAGACUCGCUUUGGCCAAUUGAGGAGCAAUUGGAGUAAGAGUUUGACAAAAGCUUGGCCAUCAUCAAAGAGGCAGUAAAAAGGGACAGAGGCAGUCCAAAAAAAGAAAAAGAAAGAUAACUGCUGUUUAUCAGAUUGUUCCAAGAUGAAAUUCCCUUCAAACCAUAUCAAAAACAAAAGGAACAGACAGCUCUUCAGCUACAAACACACGGAGAAAAUGCAAAUAGGCAAUCAGAGCGGUCCAUGAGUUCGACUGAAGCACAUUCACGAUAACAUUUUCCCCAUUAUCAUUUACAUCUCUGGUACAUAACCAAAUAUAUUC